CCCGAGUAAAUUACACACGGCCGUAAGUGGGAGCAGUUGUAGUGUUUUUAUGACCCCAUAAAACUUGGGAAGUUUAUUGCUAUUGAACAAACCUGAAAUCCAAUCCUUACAGUUCAAUAUUGGACAAUGAUUGUGGUCUGGUACUCUCUGAUGCUAAUCCAGGGGGGACCGGGGGCUUGAGCACCCAGGCAGGGAAGCCACUAAUUAACUAGACUUGGGACUUAAGGAAGAGAUGGUCACUGAACAGAGUGCCCUACUGACAUCUGGAGGAGUCAUGGGUUCCAUUUCCUUCACAUUCUAUUUACUUGAGAAUGGGGGUAUGGAAGGGAGAACUCAGAAAGAGAAUAGGCCACAGCCUCACUUUCUCAGAGGAAGUCAGCCCAACAGGGCUCUUGGAGAGUGGAGUCAUUGUGACUUGUGCCAUUUCUUAUAACAAAUUUUAAGGAGGCCUUGGGAACAAACAGUAGAAAAUCAGAGAUUGAGGCUGAAGGAAGAGGAAUGGCUGACCAGCAGAGAAGGCACAGAGUAUAUGAAUUCAAGUCCCCUGGCCCAGAUGAAUGACAUCUUCAGGUUCUGAAAGAACUGACUUAUGUGAAGACUGAGCUACUAUCAGAGAAAGAUCAUAGGAAACAUUAGAGAUACUGUAAGACCAAAGAAGGAAAAAUGUCCUGAUUUUCAAAAAGGGGAGGAGAGCAGAGCCAGAAGGCUUUAGGCCAAUGAACUUGCCUCCAAUUCACAGGCGAAUGGAUCAUUAAGGACAUUGGCCAACAUCUAGAAAGGAUUAUUGAGCUCACAGAUGGGAGAAUGCUGUGGAUGUGAUUUACCUAGAUUUUACCAAAGCUUUUGUUAGAGUAUUGGCUUUUAUUACUAUGGAGAAGAUGGAGAAGUUCACUAAAGUCCUCCCAAAUCUAAGAUGUUGCACUUUGCAGUUUCAGUUACUCGUGGUCUAGGUGGGCAGAGUGAAGCAAAGGUCUCCUCUCCCUAUGCCAGAAGUCUGCCCGUAGCAGUGUCUGCCCAUACUCAUUUCCUCAUGCCCCCUACCACCAAAAGAGCACUCCUUUGGAACAAAGAAAGACGGUUCAGCAAACCCAGUCAACAUGGUGGCCAUGUCCAAUAAUGCAUGCAGCAUUCUGAACCAGCAAUUCCCCACUUUUCUAUUGAAAAGA
rnacentral:lncRNA from 1 species